GCCGAAGUGGUGGAAUUGGUAGACACGCNNCACGCUAUCUUGAGGGGGUAGUGACCCACGGUCGUGCGAGUUCGAGUCUCGCCUUCGGCACCA
rnacentral:tRNA from 1 species